rnacentral:rRNA from 1 species
GGAAUUUUGGACAAUGGGCGCAAGCCUGAUCCAGCCAUUCCGCGUGCAGGAUGAAGGCCCUCGGGUUGUAAACUGCUUUUGUACGGAACGAAAAGGCUCUGGUUAAUACCUGGGGCUCAUGACGGUACCGUAAGCAUAAGCACCGGCUAACUACGGGCCAGCCGCCGCGGUAAUACGUAGGGUGCAAGCGUUAAUCGGAAUUACUGGGCGUAAAGCGUGCGCAGGCGGUGAUGUAAGACAGGUGUGAAAUCCCCGGGCUUAACCUGGGAACUGCAUUUGUGACUGCAUCGCUGGAGUGCGGCAGAGGGGGAUGGAAUUCCGCGUGUAGCAGUGAAAUGCGUAGAUAUGCGGAGGAACACCGAUGGCGAAGGCAAUCCCCUGGGCCUGCACUGACGCUCAUGCGCGAAAGCGUGGGGAGCAAAC